CGGCACGGGUGAGUAACACGUAUCCAACCUGCCGUCUACUCUUGGACAGCCUUCUGAAAGGAAGAUUAAUACAAGAUGGCAUCAUGAGUUCACAUGUUCACAUGAUUAAAGGUAUUCCGGUAGACGAUGGGGAUGCGUUCCAUUAGAUAGUAGGCGGGGUAACGGCCCACCUAGUCUUCGAUGGAUAGGGGUUCCGAGAGGAAGGUCCCCCACAUUGGAACUGAGACACGGUCCAA
rnacentral:rRNA from 1 species